AGUGAACGCUGGCGGUAGGCCUAACACAUGCAAGUCGAACGGCAGCACAGUAAGAGCUUGCUCUUACGGGUGGCGAGUGGCGGACGGGUGAGGAAUACAUCGGAAUCUACUUUUUCGUGGGGGAUAACGUAGGGAAACUUACGCUAAUACCGCAUACGACCUACGGGUGAAAGCAGGGGAUCUUCGGACCUUGCGCGAUUGAAUGAGCCGAUGUCGGAUUAGCUAGUUGGCGGGGUAAAGGCCCACCAAGGCGACGAUCCGUAGCUGGUCUGAGAGGAUGACUCGCCCCCCUGGAACCUGGACCCCGUCCCGGCCCCCUCCGGGGGGCACCAGUGGGGAUUUUUGGACAAUGGGCGCAAGCCUGAUCCGGCCAUCCCGCGUGGGUGAAGAGGGCCUUCGGUUUGUAAAGCCCUUUUGUUGGGAAGAAAAGCAGCAGGUUAAUACCCCGCUGUUCUGACGGUACCCAAAGAAUAAGCACCGGCUAACUUCGUG
rnacentral:rRNA from 1 species